rnacentral:rRNA from 1 species
UACGUAGGGUGCAAGCGUUGUCCGGAAUUAUUGGGCGUAAAGAGCUCGUAGGCGGUUUGUCGCGUCGGCUGUGAAAAACUCGGGGGCUCAACCCCGAGCCUGCAGUCGAUACGGGCAGACUAGAGUGCUGUAGGGGAGACUGGAAUUCCUGGUGUAGCGGUGAAAUGCGCAGAUAUCAGGAGGAACACCGGUGGCGAAGGCGGGUCUCUGGGCCGUAACUGACGCUGAGGAGCGAAAGCAUGGGGAGCGAACAGGAUUAGAACUACCGUCGUAGUC